rfam:Camelus ferus unplaced genomic scaffold scaffold961, whole genome shotgun sequence.
GAGGGUGUAGCUCAAUUGGUAGAGAGCACACUUAGCAUGCAUGAGAUCAUGGGUUCAAUCCCCAGUACCUCCU